ACAAGGUUUGAUUAUGCCUCUCAGCCACACCAUUCAACUAUGGUGUCCUAGGAGGUGUCAAUUGUGAGACAAUCCCACAUUCCUUAAGAUAGUCGAGGAAUUAUGUAUUAAGAUACUCACCACCACAAUCGGAUCGAAGCAUCUUAAUGUUCCUGCCCAAAUGAUUCUCGACUUCUUGUUUAAACUCUUUAAACCUUUCAAAAGUCUCUGACUUAUGCUUGAUUAAGUAGACAAAUCCAUAUCUACUAUAAUCAUCUGUAAAAGUCACAUAAUAACGAUUAGCAUCCCUUGUGGCAGUUUUGAAGGGUCCACACACAUCUUUGUGCACUAGAUCCAACAAACCUUCACCCCUUCACAAGAAUCAAUAAAGGGUGACUUUGUCAUUUUUCCAAGUAAGCAUGAUUCACAACUAUCAUCUGACUUUAGGUCAAAUGACUCCAAGACUCCAUCCUUUUGGAGUUGGCCUAUGCAUUUCUUACUUACAUGUCCAAGACGACAAUGCCAUAAUGAUGCUUUAUCCAAGUUAUCAUUAUUAGAAGAAUCAAUACACAACAUAUUAUUUCUUAGGUUAUCUACAAUAGACAUAGCUUCAUACACACCAUCACAAGGUAAUGCUUUAAAAGAAAGAACAUUAUUAAAGAAAGCAUUUAUUCCACCAACUUGAUUAUCAAAAGAAAAGGUAAACCCUUGUUUGUACAAAGCAUGAAAGGAAAUAAUAUUUCUUGCCAUUUCAGGCGAGUAAAAACAUUUAUUCAAAUCUAAUGUAAACCCACUACUUAGCAACAAAGAAUAAACUCAAAUCUUGGUGACAGGUGAAGCUUUCCUAUUCCCCAUGAUCAAGUUUAUCUUUCCAUGCUCCACAUUCUCACUUCUUCUUAGUCCCUUCAAAUCAGAACAUAUGUGAAUUCCACAACCUGUAUCAAGGACCUAAGAGUUAUAAUAGGGUGAGUUAUUAGACAAUAUUGUGUAAAUACCUACAUAGGUGGGUUUUACUUUCCCAUCCUUAAUAUAUUGUUGGUUCUUUGGGCAGUUCCGCUUCCAAUGCAACUUUUCAUGGAAAUAGAAACAUUCAGCCUAUUUUAGGUCAGAAGAAGGAGUGACAAAACCUUUCUUGGUUCCACUUGAAGAGGAGCCAUCAAGGGUCUUACCCUUGGUACCCUUCGAAGGGUUCUUCCUCUUUUUCCCUCUACUUUUCCCGAUUUCCAAGACAGGGGCAGAGUUUGGAGUAAGAGUAGGAGUGUUAACAACUGACUUACCUUUAAGACCAGUUUCAACGGUCUUUAUGUAGCACCUAGUUCUUGGUAUGUAUUUCUUUGUAUUUUCACUUAAGUGUUUUGCAUUUUUGACCUUGGACUCGGCGAGUUGAAGGACCAACUCGUCGAGUAGAAGCGGGACAGGAUGCGGGAAUUAAGUGAUACACUCGGCGAGUCGGGUUCCGGAUUCGACGAGUAGGCCCUGGCUGGACAACAACCCUAAUCUGAGGGUUUGCACCCUAUUUAACCAUCUCUUUCAGCCACCACUCGUCCCAUUUGCUCCCAGAAGACCCCCAUAGCAAACCUUAAUCGUAUGAGUGCAGAUCUAAGGACUAUUGGGUGAUUUUGGUGCUUUUGUGAUCUAAGAAAGGAAGGAAAAGAUUGAAGAAACAAGAAGGGGCUAGAGGGAUCCGAGUUUGAGCAUCUUCCACCGUGCAUUUGAGGAAUAAAGCUUAUACCUUGCUCAUUAUUAUUAUGGAACUAUUCUUGAAGGAAGUUAGGGCUUCUAAGAGCCAUUUUGGCAACCAACCAUGAUUGCAAGCAUGGUUGAGGGCUAGGGUUUUGGAUCCAGGGUUCUUGAGGGGACCUAAGGCAUAAAGCAACUAUUUUAGAACCCAUGGAAAGCCUCAUGCAUGUUGGGAGUCCCUUUUUGAGCCAUUUGGGCUCAUUCUUCCAUGCAUGCACGUAAAAUUUGUAACUUUACGUGCUAGAUCGAGCCUAGGGGCUUGGAUCUAUCUUUUGGUCAAAGGUUGUACAGCAAAAAUCGAGGAUUUAGGGUGUGGAUGUUAUCGACUCAGGGAGUCCGUUCUUGGGACUCGACGAGUCCAAGGCAUAAAGUCACAUAUUUGUUGAGGGUCUAAAGAACUCAGUUUGGGCUCAUUCUUCCAUGCAUGCAUGUAAAGUUUGUAACUUUACGUGCUAGAUCGUGCCUAGGGGCCUGGAUCUAUCUUUUGGUCAAAGGUUGUACAGCAGAAAUCGAGGAUUUAGGGUGUGGAUGUUAUCGACUCAGGGAGUCCGUUCUUGGGGCUCGACGAGUCCAAGGCAUAAAGUCACAUAUCUGUUGAGGGUCUAAAGAACUCAGUUGGGUGUUAGAAGGACUGUAGAAGGUCAGAAGGAGCGACCCAACACAUUGGACUUAGCCUUAGACCUGGAGUUCAUUGGACUCGAUGAGUGCUAGAACAAACUCGACGAGUCCAAGGCAAUCUCCUUAUGGUUGAAGAUGAACUCGACGAGUUGUUCAUACAACUCGACGAGUCGAGGUCAGGACUUGUUCAUCAGAUGAAGGUGAACUCGACGAGUUGUUCAUACAACUCGGCGAGUCGGAUGAAGGAUCAUUCGAUGUUCAUAUAGAAGAGGAACUUGUCGAGUCAUCGCCAAACUUGACAAGUCGAGUCAUGGAUAAGGACGUGUAAAGGGUUAGGGACUCGACAGGUUGACUGCCCAACUCGGCGAGUCAGGUCAACUUCAAGUUGACUUUGACUUGGACUUGAUUAUGGGUAAAAUAGUCAUUUUACCCUAAGAGUAGAUGCCAGUUUCUGACUAAGUGUUUUGUGGGGAUUGUAGCCGGAGGAUUUCCGGAGCAGCAGCAGACAAAGACUUCCCAAACGGAUUAUCAACAGCUACUUGUUCGAGGUGAGUUACCUUCUAGUAGCGGUGGGUCUACAGCCACAAUGCCGGCCCACCAGUAAUAGUUGUAUGUUAUAUGAUUGUCAUUGUGAUAUCAUCUAGUUUUGCUACUACCUGAUAUGUUAUAUGCUGGCAUGAUACGUUAUAUGUGAUAGUGGUAGAGUUCGGUUGUUAGGACUGAAGGGUAGAUCUGGCACCCCAGAUAUGUCUGACAGUAUGUGAUGAUGUGUUCAUAUGCUGGCAUGAUAUGUUAUAUGUGAUAGGGGUAGUAGGAGGGGAAUAGUCCCCAAGUUCGAUUGUUAGGACCGAAGGGUAGUUCGGACGCCCCAGAUAUGUCUGAUUGUAUGUUUAUGUUAUGAUAUAUGUGAUAGUAGCAGUAGGGGGUGGAAUAGUCCCCAAGGGUCGGUUGUUAGGACCGACGGGUAGGUCAGCACCCCAUAAUAGCUUGACAUGGGUAGGUCAGCACCCCAGAAUGGCUUGACACGGGUAGGACGGCACCCCAGAAUAGCCACAUGGGUAGGUCGGCACCCCAGAAUGGUUGUACGGGUAGGUCGGCACCCCAGAAUUGCCCGGCAGUAUAUAUGUUGUGUGAUUAUAUGGUAUGUGAUACGAUGGGGGAACUCACUAAGCUUUGUGCUUAUAGUUUACAGUUUUGGUUUCAGGUACCUCUUCAGUGAAGGGGAAGGAGCUGGCGCAGUAGCGGCACAUCAUACACACACAUGUUGGUUUUCCGCACUAGAGUUUCUUGGGAUUGUACUCUGACAUUAUUCCUGCUUUUGUGAACAGUUUUCAGACAUGAGUUGUGGUAUUAUGAAAUUUUUUGAUUAGAUGGUGUUUUUCUUAUAAAUGUUUUUACAAGUCAAUUAAUUAAAAAUGAAAUUUUUGGACUUGAAAAUUGGAUCGUUACACUUUAGGAGUCCUUGAAGCUUGCUGAGGACCGGUUUGGGUGGAGUCAGAGAUUUUCUCUAGGGUAAGUCUAGUACGAGAAUAGAAGAGAUCAGCAUUGGUAAAAGGGACUUGGUGGAGUCAAGUCAGUCCUUGAGGAAGGUAUGGAUAGAUGUGGAAGGUAGUAUGUGAUUGUACUACUGAAAGCAGAGGAUCUGUACCCGAAUUCAGGAAGGCUGAGGCAAGACCGGGGAACUUGUAGUGGAUGUGAUCCCUCUAGAUGUAUCAGUAUCACUAACGGUUGUCACUAUGUAUUGCAGAAUGGUGGUACUACGAUAGAGGUCAGUGGUUGGUAGCUCGGGAGAGGGAUCGGGUUUGGGUUCAGGCUCCGAACCAGUGGAUGAGAGGCUACGCGAGUUCAUCGCGUCGGAGAUCACUAGAGGCAUCCUUGAUGCAACCCGGGUCAUAUUUGGGUCGAUUAAGGAAAGGAUUGUCGAGCUGAUGGAGGAUCGCCUUAGGGCAUUCAAGAGUGACAUGGCGACCAGCCAUUCGGGAUCCCGCACACUGUCCUUUAAGGACUUCAGGGGUAGUGGUGCGCUAGAUUUCCAUGGGGCAAAGGACCCCAUUGCUUCCAGACGAUGGAUUGCGGACAUUGAGUCUGCACAGCUAACCAACUUCUGCCCCGAGUGGUCAAAAGCGAGAUACACAGCAGGGUGUUUGAGAGACAGAGCUAGAGAUUUGUGGGAGUCUGUUGGUGACUCGUUGGGAGACUCGGUUGUUGGGGCUAUGACCUGGUCAGACUUUGUGACCAGAUUCAGGGCGGAGUUUGCGCCAGCUGUAGAGCUUCAGUAGUUGGCCAGGGAGUUUUUAUACAUGAGAUAGACUACGGAGACUAUGGCGGAGAUCAUCGCCAAGUUCCGGGAGAGGUCAUUGCUGGUGCCCCAAUAUGAAGGAGAGGAGGAUAUGAGGAGGACCCGCUACCAUGACAUGCCGCGAGCCGACAUUCAGGAGAAUGUUAGUUUUUCAGCUUGCCCUACCCUGGAUUCCAUGAUUUCCAGGGCAAGGGAGAGGGAGAUCGAUCUGGAGCAUGUUCGGAAGAGGAAGAUAGAGGAGGGACAGACGACUGGGGCUUCGGGGAAGAAGCCCAAGGGAUCAGAUGGUAGGCCGAAAGGCCAGUCAGGACAGCACCGCUGCAAGAAAUGCAGCAGGCCACAUGAGGGGGCGUGUAGAUUGGGAUCAUCGGGCUGCUACAUGUGCGCCAAGACGGGGCACUUCAGCAGGGAUUGUACCGCCCCUGCACCAGUUAUUAAAACUUCUGAGUUGAUGUGUUUCCAUUACAACCAGAGGGGCCACAAGAAGGCCAACUGCCCCCAGUUGACAGCAACAACGCUAGUGAAGGCACCAGCUCAGCGACCCUGCGGAUUACUGAUGGCCGGAAGGGCAAAGCAGAGGCUCCAGUGGUGAGGAGUCGGGCAUUCCAGUUGACUGCCGAGGAGGCAUGCGCUGCACCCGAUGUGGUGACGGGUAUGACAUCUUAUUUUGAUGGGUUUUAUGCAUAAGAAACAAUCCUAUGUGCUCAUACAAACCCUAAUGCUUGGAUCUAGUUUUCUCUAUUGUACAUGCUUUGAAUCCAAGACUUACAAACCUAGAUCUAUCAUAUAUAAUUCGUAAUUAUCAUAAAGAAAAAUAGAUCCAAGUGUUUUAUCUCUUUCAAGUAGCUUGAAAUCCUUGUAAUCUUCUUGAUCUUGAGCUUAGAGUCACAAUUGUAACUCCUCUAAUGGUUCACAAACCCCACAAGCAAGAAGGCAAUAUGAGAAAGGAUGAGAAGUGAUGAAAUCGGCCCUAGGGUUCUCUUAGAAGCAUGUGUAGCCAAUCUCCAUAGCCUAGGGGUCUUCUUUAUACUUGCAGGCUGCUAGGGUUUCAGUCUAAACCCUAAUGGACAGCUUAACCACCAAGCAACCCAAGGAACCUUCUAGAAUAAGGCCUUGGACGAAAAUAUGAUGGAUCCUUAUCAUAAUUUCGUUCCCCUUUAAGUCCAUAAGGCUUCCUUAGCCCAAAACUUAACUAUCAUACAUUUGACAGUUUAUACCCCUUUAUUUAAUUAAUCUCUUUUAGUCACCAAAUUAAUUCCUAAUUAAGUUAUGACCAAUACUAAUUAAAUAAGUAUGAUUUAUCCUUUAAUAUAUUAUUCUUAUAAUAUAUAAUAAAACAUAAUAUUCUCUCUUUCUCCUUAAAUUACCUUGCCAGGUUGCUUUGGUGAAGGCAACCCAAAAGGACCAUGCACAACCGAGUCAAGUAUAUACCAAAUAUAGUUACGGGCUUAGACACUAUUCCAACAGUCUCCCACUUGGAUAAUUCUAGUAACUAUAUCUCACAUAUGACUUCAGAACCCGAUUAGAAAUCAUAGCUCUUAUACUUCGUUGUCAAUGUUGAUCAGCUUGUCCUUCACAUAAGGGAUCGUAUAAUGCUCUGUUCUAGAUAUCAUGCUAACAAUGCGUAUUGUCCAGCACUUGUUUCUUGAUCUCUGAUUUGUUCGACAUAGAAUUUAGUUGAACACAUCAACCUCAUUCUGACAGGGCCUGACACAUAAAUCAAACCAAAUCAUCAAGUGGGCAAGAUAUCACUUUUAUCUCAUAGAGUAAAAGGAACAGAUUAACUUUGACUCCUAUGCAUCUAUUAUUUACUAAUUGAAUCAUGCACAACGAUGUGUUUUAUAACAUCAAGUUACUAAUGCGUUUUCACAUCAUCAAUGCAUAACCAACCAACAAACAACAACCAUAUCUCUAAGUUUUAAGACUAUACGAUAUUAUCCCUUUGCGAUCACUUAAGGUAAAACACCAUGAAGUGAUACCAGCAAGCGCGGGUUUAUUCCAAUGCUCAAAUCAUAUUCAUAAGCACUCGUUAACUUUGAAGUAAACCUUGUCUAUGCCCAAAACCUUUUAGACAAUCUACAAACAAUUCAUGACAGUCUUCAUUCACAUCUACUUCCAAAACAUGAAUGACUGUGGACCGUUUGAAUAAUCUUAUUAUUCAGGAAGUCAAAACAUGCAAAAUUGAAACAAUAGAUAAAUAACCAACACAAGAUAGUAGCUUUACUCAUAAAUAACCCAAUUUAUUUAUUCAUCAAAUGUCGAGUACAAGAUAUCUAUUACACGUUUCCUAUCUAUUCCAAACUUAUAUCAUCCUUCAGCCUAAUGCUCCUAGCGUGCUGCAAGUGCUUGACCCUACUCAGUCCCUUUGUAAGGGGAUCUGCUGGGUUUUCUUCUGAUGAUACCCUCAUCACAACGAGGAGUCCCUGUUCUACCUGAUGUCUGAUAAAAUGGUAUUUUCUGUCGAUAUGUCGAGAUCUUCCAUGAUCUCUUGAUUCCUUGGUCAAGGCAACCGCUGCUUCAUUAUCAUAGAAAAUUUCCAUCGGCUCCUUUAUGGAUGGCAUAAAUCCAAGGUCUCCAAUGAAGUUCUUCAACCAUAUAGCCUCCUUUGAAGCGUCACUUGCUGCAAUGUAAUUUGAUUCGCACGUUGAAUCAGCUACGGUCUCCUGUUUGGAACUUUUCCAAGUCACUACUCCUCCACUUAGGGUAAAGACCCAGCCCGACUGCGAUCGGUAACUAUCCGGAUCCAUCUGAAAACUAGCGUCAUUGUACCCUCGUAUCCUCAAGUCAUCACUCCCACCGAGGACUAGAAAUCAUUCCUUGGUCCUUCGUAGGUACUUCAGAAUAUUCUUUACCGCAAUCCAAUGACCUCUACCCGGGUUCCCCUGAUAUCUGCUUACCAUGCUCAAGGCAAAGGCCACAUCAGGGCAAGUACAAGUCAUAGCGUACAUGAUAGAGCCUACUGUGGAAGCGUAAGGUACUCGACUCAUAUCAACUAUCUCUGCCUCUACACUCGGGCUUUGAGUCUUACUCAACUUGGUAUUGCUUUGGAUUCGCAACUCCCCUUUCUUGGAAUUUUUCAUACUCAAAUGCUUUAGUACCUUGUCCAAGUAUGUAUCCUGACUGAGUCCUAUCAGUCUCUUUUCCCUGUUUCUUCCUAUCCUUAUUCCCAUAAUAUAAGCAGCCUCUCCGAGGUCCUUCAUAGCGAAACAUUUCCCAAGCCAGGACUUGACCUCCUGCAAGGUUGGGACAUCGUUUCCUAUGAGUAGUAUGUCAUCAACAUAUAAUAUGAGGAAUCUUACUAUACUCCCACUGGGACAUCUGCGAGACGCUUGUUUCAAUCCAUAAAUGGAUUUCUCAAGCUUACACACUCUAUUUGGAUGCAUCACAUCGACAAAACCCUCUGGCUAAUUCAUAUACACAUCCUCAGUCAACUUCACAUUAAGGAAAAUGGUUUUCAUGUCCAUCUGCCAGAUUUCAUAAUCAUGAAAUGCAGGUAUUGCAAGCAUUACCCUAAUAGACUUUAUCUUCGCAACAGGUGAGAAGGUCUCAUCAUAGUCAACUCCGGGAUUUUGAGUAAAGCCCUUCGCAACCAAUCGCGUUUUAUAAGUGUGCACAUUCCCAUCCAUGUCUUUCUUCUUCUUGAAGAUCCACUUGCACCCGACUGUCUUACGACCUGGUACAUUAUCAACCAAGUUCCAAACUUGAUUGCCGUACAUGGACUGAAUCUCGUUGUCCAUCACCUCUUUCCAUUUAGCAGACUUCGGGCCUGCCAUGGCUUCUUUGUAGCUGCUAGGUUCAUCCAAAUUCAUUUGUGUUUCAUCACUAAUAAACAUAUCCCCUUCAGUAGUAAUAUGAAAACCAUAAAACUGGGGUUGAACACUAACCCUAUUAGAACGUCUAAGAGGUAAGGACUCGUCAACGGGUUCAAUAGAAGUUUCCUCCUUGGGUUGAGCGCCAGUGUUAGAGGUUCCUUCAUUGCUUUGUUCUUGAAUCUCUUCAAGAUCAAUUUGCCUCCCACUGUCUUCUUGGCUAAUCAAUUGCCUUUCUCGGAACACUCGUCUUCUAGCAACGAAGACAACAUUGUCAUACGGUCUAUAGAAAAGAUAGCCAAAAGACUUAUGUGGAUAACCGAUGAAAUAACACUUCUCACUACGAGGUUCAAGCUUGUUGUGAGUCUCUCGUCUUACGAAAGCCUUGCAACCCAAAAGCUUAAUAUGUGCUAAUGAGGGAGCUUUCCCUGUCCACAUCUCGUGAGGAGUCUUGGUAACCUUCUUGGUGGAAACUAAGUUAAGGAUGUGGGCGGCAGUCUCUAAGGCAUACCCCCAGAAAUAUAUUGGUAACGAAGUCCGACUCAUCAUAGAAUGAACCAUGUCCAACAAGGUUUGAUUACGUCUCUCAGCCACACCAUUCAAUUGUGGCAUUCUCGGAGGCUUCAAUUGCGAAACAAUUCUGCAUUCUUUUAGAUAGUCAUGAAACUCAAGACUUAGGUACUCUCCUCCUCGGUCUGACCGAAGCAUCUUGAUUUUCUUUCCCAGUUGAUUCUCCACUUCAUUCUUAAACUCUUUGAACUUUUCAAAGGUUUCUGACAUUUUCUUGAUUAGGUAGAUAUAUCCAUAUCUGCUAUAAUCAUCUGUAAAAGUCACGUAGAAGCGACAAGCAUCCUUUAUGGUGGAUCUAAAGGGCCCACACACAUCGGUGUGUAUGAGAUCCAAUGGACCCUCACCCCUUUCACAAGUGCCAGUAAAGGGUGACUUGGUCAUCUUCCCAAGUAAACAAGAUUCACACGCGUCAUCGUCCCUAAGGUCGAAUGACUCCAACACUCCAUCCUUUUGGAGUUGGGCUAUGCGUUUCUUGUUGACAUGGCCAAGGCGACAAUGCCACAAGCAUGCUUUUUCUAGGCUAGUAGACGAAUCAGUAUUCAAUACAUCAUUUUCUAAAUUAUCAACAACCAUCACAGAUUCAUAAAUCCCAUUACAAGGUAAUGCAUUGAAAUAAAAGACACCAUUCAAAUAAACAUUAAUAGAACCAUUACUAUUAUCAAAAGAAUAUCUGAAACCUUGUCUAAACAAUCCAUGAAAUGAAAUAAUGUUUCUUGCCAUAUCUGGUGAAUAACAGCAAUUUUCUAAAUCUAACCCUAACCCAUUACUAAGCACUAAAGAAUAAACUCUGACUUUGGCGACAAGCGACGAUCUUCUGUUUCCCAUAAACAAGUUUAUCUUCCCAUGUUCCAUUUCCCUACUUCUUCUUAGGCCCUGCAAAUAAGAACAAAUGUGGUAACCACAACCUGUAUCAAGAACCCAUGAAGUAUAAAAUGAUGAGUUAUUAGAUUUAAUAGAAUACAUACCUGCGAAGGUGGGCUUGAUCUUCCCAUCCUUUAUGUCUUGCAGAUACUGAGGGCAACUUCGUUUCCAGUGGCCCUUCUUGUGGCAGUAAUUGCACUCUGCUUCUUUGGGGUUGGAAAAGGGUUUGACCGAACCAGCUUUGGUUCCACUAGAAGAGGAACCAUCUUGGGUCUUACCCUUGUGGUGGCCCUUACAUGGAUCCUUUCUCUUCUUUCCCUUUCCUUGACCAAUUGCCAACACGGGAGCAGCCACAACAGGGGAUGGUGCAAUAGAUUUAUCUUUGAGGUUGCUCUCAGCAGUCCUCAACAGUCCUUGGAGCUUGCUCAAGGAGAUCUCCUCUUUAUUCAUGUGGUAGGUCAUUCUGAACUGGUUGUAACAGGAGGGCAAGGAGUGGAGGAUUAUGUCAAUGGCCAAAUCCUCAUCAAACUUAACAUUAAGUUUGAGAAGAUGAUCAACAUACCUCUGCAUUUUCUGUAAAUUAGAGGUUAGGGAUUCUCCACUCCCCAUCUUAGCGGUGAUCAUAUUAGUAAUGAUCUCAUAGCGCUCUUGCCUCACGCUUUGGUGGUAUCGGUCCAGCAAAUCCAGAUGCAUUUCAUACGGAUACAUGUCCUCGUAGGAAUUUUGGAGUUCGAGGUUCAUUGUGGCCAACAUGAUGCAAUGAACUUUCAUAGCAUCACGCUCGUGGGCCUCAAAGGCGGCCGUCUCUUCAGGAGUAGCAACAUCUGGGAUGAUCUUCUCAAAUUUUCAUCGAGGACAUACUAUUUGUCCUCGUAGCGAGUGAUCAUGCGAAUAUACCUCAUCCACUCGUUGAAGUUUGAGCCAUCAAAUGUCACCUUUUGACAUAGGUUCAUCGACGAGAAUGACCCAGAAGCGUUGUUCUUGUUGUUUGCAGACAUCUGAAAAGAAAAGGAACAAAGUUUGAUUAGAAAUGAGUCCCUAAUUAAACACCCAAAUGAGAAAUUAGGGCUAGGACCCAACAACAUUAUUUACAACUUAGAAAGGGAUGUCGUACUCUAAAAGUAAAUAAUUUGAAGGUAAGUGAAUG
rnacentral:lncRNA from 1 species